UACGCUUUUAAACAUAUGUUCGAAUACUCGCAGCACAAUGAGAAUCCUUUUAUUUGCAAUUUUCUCGCAGGAAAUUUGGGAAUUCCAGCGACACCACCA
rnacentral:lncRNA from 1 species